rnacentral:misc_RNA from 1 species
CGCACAUUGCGCCCGUUGGUAUUCCGACGGGCAUGUCUGUCCGAGCGUCUAUUAAAACUUAUAUAAAUGUUGAAUGAUCUGGUCAAUUGGACAUUCUUAAAUCAUUCUGGCAUGAUUUAGCCAAGUGUCUUGAAAAUUCGCUUGUUGCUGAAUCACGUUUAGUUUUUUUCUCUUUUAGACUUCGUCCAAUAGAGAAGAAAGGUCUAGUCCUCGGACACACAAGGAUACCCGCUGAACUUAA